AUGGCUUGGACUCCUCUCAGCUUCAUGAUUCUAUCUUUCUUUGCAGGUUCCUUUUCUCAGUCUAUACUGAAACAACCGCCGUCCAUCUUUGAGGCUCUUAGACCAACAGCCCGACUCACCUGUACUCUGAAGAGUGGCAUCAGUGUUGGCAGUAAAAACAUUUACUGGUACAAGCAGAUGCAGGGGAGCCCUCCUCAGUUUUUUCUGUACUACUACUCAGACUCAGACAAGAAGCUGGGACCUGGAGUCAUCGAUAGAGUCUCUGGAUCCAAAGAUACCUCCAAAAAUGCUGCAAAUUUGCACAUCUCUGAGCGACAAGCAGAUGUUGAGGCUGACGAUUACUGUUCCAUCUGGGAAAAUAGUGUGUCUCACAGUGAUACAGGAAGAUGGGGAGGUAGGUAA